CCGGUUCGUCUCGCGCGUCAGCGUGGGCUCCCCGAGGCGAGUCGCUAGGUAACGGGGCCGGCUCCGCAGACCCCGGGCCGGGGGAACCCGCGCGCGCCGUUCCCAGCUGCGCCGCGGCCGGGGCCGGGGGCCCACGGGCCUUCCCCCAGCCCGGCCUGCAGAUCGGCUGGGGGGCAGCCUCCGCCCAAGAUGCCUUAAGGCGCGUCGAUCGCCGCCGCCGAGGUGCCCCCCUGGCAGGGACCCCGACGCCGCCAGCCCCUUCCUCCCGCCCAGGCGGCGCGGCUGGGUGGGCGCCCCACCGCCGGUCCCCCCGCCGAGCCCCAGGCGGGGCCUGAGGAGCCCCGGGGCGCCGCCCGGAGACCACCCGGCUGCGCGCACACCUCGCUAGCGGCGGACGAGGACAUGAGCGGCGCGCACGGGGUCCGGCGCCCGGAGGCCAGCCCCAGCUGGCGGCGGCCAGGGGGCCCGCGCUGCCCGGGAGAAUGAGGCGCGAGCCGGUGGCAGCCUCCUCUUCCUCGCCUUCCUCCGGCCCCGGCGCCCCGGGCCCGGGCCGGGCUGUGGCUCUGCUGCGUGUCCCGCGCGCCCCCCGCCCGCCUCCGGAUGCGCUGCUCGGUUAGCCUGGGGAGGAAGAUAAAGCCAUUUGCAACCAAGAUGGUAAUCACGAGUGGAAAUGAUGAAGACAGAGGAGGCCAAGAAAAAGAGAGUAAAGAGGAAAGUAUCUUGGCCGUGCUGGGGAUUAUUGGGACCAUUCUGAACCUAAUCGUGAUCAUAUUUGUAUACAUAUACACCACUCUGUGAAUGCCCGGAGGGUCCCUAAAGGCCUCGGGACGGCCCAAAGACGGGAGCCCUGUGUGUCGGCAGGUCAGUGAUUUGACACUCUGCAAACAAGCAGGCUUGAACUUCAAAUGCACCUUCGAACUUCAUAAAAGGUCACACAAAUAAACCAAUCCUGCUGCAAGGAGCAGACCCUAAAGCACAAUGAAUCCAACAAAACUCAUUCACACAACAAGGAACUCAGCGUCUUUGGCAAGGGGCUGAAAAGAACACUCGGAAGACCAGCCUCCGGCGCCAUCGGGGAGCAGAUGGGUGCGAAAAUUCACUCUCCCAGAUCGCUAAUGGAUAUCACGCAUUCGAAAAGAGGAACAGGGCGGAUGCAGCUCUCAGCAGCGUGUCUCCGGCGACAUGCAUUUCAUCUUAACUCGAUGAGCUGUUUAGUACGAAAAACCACAAGGGCAGUCUCUGACAGACAUCCCAUUUAUCAAAAGUGUCCAACUAUUUGAUACCAGGAAGAUAACUUAUUUUUCUUUUUCAUUGGCUUGACAUGUGUAUCUGUUCAUAUCAAGGUUUAUAAAUAUCUAUUUUUUAAUAAAUGUGCUCUAUUUUUUAGCAUGAACCAAAUAUUUGGAGAGGCGCUCCUGGAUUCAUAGAGCUUUCCUUGGUUCUAACUGCUUCACCCCGUGGACCACCGAUGGUCUGUUGUAUUGUUAUUCUAGUCCUACUUCUCUCAUCUUGCAUAUUUCACCUUUUCUUUCACUCUCUCUUUUUCUCUCUUUUUUGGUCUGAAGGACAUUUUUCUGUAAUACCAGCCAUGGUCUUGUUGGUGCAUGUUUUAAGAUUGUCCAUUGAGUGGCUUUUUGUUCUUAUAUCAGAGAUAUAAAACAAUCGUGGGCAUGUGGACUUAGAUGCACUGUAUCAUUACUGAGAAAUUUGCAUGAACAAGGGCUGAGUGACAGAUCAGCUUUAAAACAAUGUCAAAAGGACUACCACUGAAGGAGAGCGCGGCUAUGUUUGCAGAACAACUGCGGGACAGAAUAUUCAGCUUCUUAGUGGCAGCAUUAUUAUUUUAUUCUUGUGACCAUUCGUAGAUCAGAUUUUUAGUUUAAUGGGCACAUACCGCGGUAGAGGGGAAGAACAAGGAGAAAAGCUUAGCAUUAGGUGCAUAAUUCCUUCCUCAGAGAACCACGUGGGAUCCUUUUCAAAGUAGAUGGGGUGUAAGUGACACCUGGCCUUCCCCUCUGUGAGAGCUCACCUGGGUGUUGCAGGCUGUAAGGACAUCCCUGUGAGGGGUGACUUUUCAAGAACACUAGAAGGGGAUGGAACAAUCGCCCUAAGGAUUGCUGUGCCUCUUAAAGCUCCUGGUUUACACCCAUAUGAAGCUGCUUCAUCCCUGGCAGGGAUGGUGGAACAAAUAUGAAUUGGCCCUGUUCUCCCAGCUCCCUGAGAUAGGCCUUUGCCUGGCUGUAGUGGCAUGGCCUUAAAAAGAGGAUCAGAAUUCCUUCUGCCAGUGCCAGCCUUGCCCAUGGGCAAGAAAAGCAGCAGCCUGCCUGGUUGGAUUCAGAUGAUGCCCAGGAGGUCUCUACUGCCAGAUCUCUCCCACCUCGUGUUGUGGUAUCUGAAAUGUCAUCAUUAGAGAGUCAUUUCUUGGGCUUCUUUAAGGGACCAGGCUCAUUUAUAAAGCCAAUGCCCCUGAGCACAUGGCUCUGACAUUGAUUCGUCAGGUGUCUUCUCUUCCCCACCAGAAGGAAGGAAGCUGAUGUGCAUUUAGGGCCUACUGUGUGCAUGGCACUAUGCCAGACACUUUGUAUUGCUGACGUCAUUGAAUGCUCACUGUAACCAUGUGUAGAAGAAGAAAGAGAGAUUGGGAAACUUCCCUGAGAUCAUGUGGCUGCUAGUGGUGAGUCAGAUCUCCAGCCCUGGUCUGCCUGAUUCCUUAGCCCAGUGAGGGCCAGUAGGCUGCUGGAGGGAGGGAAUGGAGAGGUGGGGACGUCACAGCAAAAGGCCCUCCAGGAUCAGGACACAAGUCCAGUGACCUUGCUGAGGGACGGCUCUGCACACCUCCCUCUCCUUCCCCCAUAAAAAUAAACAAUCCCUGGGAACUCCUUGAACACUGGCAGAAUAUCAUACACAUCGGGACUUGGGACAGGAGAAGGCUGGUUAGAAAUAAAAUGGAAUGUCCUGGGGAGGGAGCUGUCUAACAGGUUCUGUGUGAUUCUAGAAAGACUGUAUGAAAAUUCUGAACAGUGAACAGAGUAAACAAUAAAGGUGCAAUGGAAAAACAACUUCAA